AAACCCCGCCUCCGCGAGGCUGGGCCCCGCCCCCGCAGCGGCGGCCUCCACCCCGACGCUGUCCUGUUUCUUAGUGCCCUGGCACGCCUGAAUGAAGAAGAGCUUGGGCUUCUCUCGGAGGGUCGGGCACUGCGAGCCCGAGAAGAGCGAGGUGAUGUCGCGUAUGGCGACCAUUUGGCCGUCGGUGCCGCACAUCACGCCCUGCUUGCCGUGCGUCAGGAUGCAGCAUACAAAGCAAUCGCGCAGCGAGUGAUCCGUCUCCCGGUACCGAUUCAUGGUGUCCCUCAUCUCUGCAGCCGAGAGGUUCUUGAACAGAACCACUUCAAAACCAAGCCACCUGAAGACGCCGUCGAGCCGCUCUGUGGAAACACAAGGCAAGGUAAAACAAGAUGGUGUUGACUUACACAGUCAAAAUACUGAAGUGAAGCCUGACCAGCAGAGCGACUCAUCAGUGUCUUCAGUUGCCAUUGGUUUGAGGUGACUAUUCAAGAACAUAUCAGCUCAAGAGAUGAACAACACAACAAAUCAUUGCCGGGAAAUGGAUCACACGCUGUACGAUUGCUUAGUUUGUCAUGCUCUGACCCACUGAAAGAAAGGCAUGCUGUGUGGCACCAAUGCUCAGAAUGUUGGCUUUACCACAAAUUCGCAAUGCCAAACUGUCUGGCAGAUAUUGAAGCUCUUGUUUAUUCUGACAACCCAGAGAACCAAGAGCCAGGACAGUAUUGGAUUGAACUGACUCAAACAAGGAGUGAUCUGGAGGAGGGUAGUGAGAUUACUUUAGAAAUGGGUAUAGAUUCUAAUAGAGAAAUUAAAAUAAGCCUGAAUAAGGGUUAUAAUAUGGGGAUUAAGAUAGAAAAUGAUACUGUUUCUAAAUGGGCGAUCAAAAUAUUUAAGUAUAUAGAUUCUAAAAAGGAAAUAAAUGUAGAGAAGGACAAAGGUUCUAAAUGGGAAAUCAAAAUAGAAAAAUAUAUAUAUUCCAAAAGGGACAUAAAGAUAGAGAAGGAUAUAGAUUCUAAAAUGAACAGGAUUGACAAGGAUCAGAGAUAAUGGGAACUGCAGAUGCUGGAGAUUCCAAGAUAAUAAAAUGUGAGG